rnacentral:rRNA from 2 species
UACAGAGGUCUCAAGCGUUGUUCGGAUUCAUUGGGCGUAAAGGGUGCGUAGGCGGCGCGGUAAGUCGGGUGUGAAAUCUCGGGGCUUAACUCCGAAACUGCAUUCGAUACUGCCGUGCUUGAGGACUGGAGAGGAGACUGGAAUUUACGGUGUAGCGGUGAAAUGCGUAGAUAUCGUAAGGAAGACCAGUGGCGAAGGCGGGUCUCUGGGCCGAUACUGACGCUGAGGAGCGAAAGCGUGGGGAGCAAACAGG